GCAGUAUCAGGUAGUGCAGUAUCAGGUAGUGCAGUAUAGGCAGGUAGUGCAGUAUAGGCAGGUAGUGCAGUGUAAACAGUAUAGGCAGGUAGUGCAGUGUAAACAGUAUAGACAGGUAGUGCAGUGUAAACAGUAUAGACAGGUAGUGCAGUAUAGGCAGGUAGUGCAGUAUAGACAGGUAGUGCAGUAUAGGCAGGUAGUGCAGUAUAAACAGUAUAGACAGGUAGUGCAGUACAGGCAGAUAGUGCAGUAUAGACAGGUAGUGCAGUGUAAGCAGUAUAGACAGGUAGUGCAGUAUAGGCAGGUAGUGCAGUUUAAACAGUAUAGGCAGGUAGUGCAGUAUAGGCAGGUAGUGCAGUAUAGACAGGUAGUGCAGUAUCAGGUAACAGGUUGUGCAGUGUAAACAGUAUAGAUGUAUAGACAGGUAGUGCAG